UAGACAUCUAUGGCUCUAACGGUAGAAAAUGUCUUUUAAAAUAUCCCAGGAUGCCUCACUCUGAUCACACACGUGUUCAGUCUAUUUUCCAGAGAUCUUCAGACAGAGCAGACGCAAACAGCAUGAGCGGACACUGGAUGUGUGCUGAUUGGCCAUCUGAUCCCCAAUACUCAUCUAAACCCCCCGACUGAAGAGAGGCCAGUUAACUACUAUGAUUUAGUAGUUAUGUCUUACUAGGUAAGUAAGGCUGGUUCUAGAUUGUGAAGUAACAGCCAUGUGCUUCCUCAGUGACUAACAAAGAGGAUACACUUUCAAUCUUAUACUAGUGGCCAACCACCAUGAUUCUUUCUUAAAUUACCAAUGCCGAAAUCCAGAGAGCAUCGUGGCUGAUAUGAUGCUAAUCACACAAUUUUUAAUAUAGUUAGUCAUGUGCAUAUAAUAGCUAAAAUAAUUGAACCAUUUAGCACUAUAUUUUGUCAACAUUUCACACUACUUUAGUUUUUAGCAAUUUAUUUGCACAGAACACGUCCAUAAAAGUGAGAAUUAAAUCGUAGAUCAAUCUCAUCUAACACGUGUUAUAUGGUUUAUAAACUGACAAAAAUAAGUUUUAAACUUUUAUUUCAUUGCAAUUGUGAAAUGUCUGGAGUGGGCUUAUAAAUUAGGGCUACGUCUACAAUUAAAGCCCACUAUGCCUUUAAAAAGUGAAUGCUUCUCAUUGUAUAAAACACCUAGAUUGAUAUUUUUUUAGAUUUAAACAUUAUAACCUGUUAAUGAAUAAAGCUUUCAUUUUUAGACUGUACAAAUAUUUUCUCUGCCUAUUCGUUUUCUCCCUGCAAUGAGCUUAAAUAUUUUCACUUAAUGUGCUGAUCAGCAGUUUGUAUUUAUUUUACUGCAUCUAUCUUUGUGACCAUCUCUCAUGCAGUGUCCUGCACUAGCUCCAGAUACUCAAUGUCAUCUUUUCAAAUACAAAGUAUUGCUGAUAAAUAUCAAUUUGCAUUUGUUUUAAUAAUCUCAAUUUAAAUAUAUAUUUUUUUAAUCCCUCACCCAGUUUGUUGUUCAGACUCCAGAAAAAUGGCUUUUGAGGUUUUAUAAAGCAGUGGAGAUUUCCAAAAUUGCUGCUGAACAGUGGUAGCAUAUGCUCCCAAAUAACUUAAGAAUGAAACAUUUGAUUGACACCAAGUAAAAGGUUUCCAACGAAUAUGUGCACUUCCUCUGCAACAAGGCUUUCUCUUGCUGCCCAAUUACGGUUUUAUUUUGAAAUUAAAUGUUACUUGUGCUUGAGUCACUUUCCCUAUGGCAUGUACGCUUUAGCUAUUGCAUUCUCAAAAGACCAAAUGUGCGCUUAAGCAAUCGCAUUUUCUCAGAAAAAUUAAUCAAACAAUUGUACAUUCAGUGAAUAUGACAUUUACUCGUAGCACACCUGAAGUGCUUUUACCUUGAAAUUGCUCUCAAACAAAUAGUUUACAUGGCCUGUAUCACCUGCUUUGAUCGUCACAGACUGACUGUCAUGUAUCAUUCGUAAAUUAGUCCAUCCUCUGUUGACCUCCAGGCAUUUCCAUCUGCAGAACUGCCUCAGUGGAUGUUGGUGUUUUUUGACACCAUUCUGAGUAAACUGGAGAGACUGUUGUGUGUGAAAUCACAGGUGAUCAGCAGUUAAAGAAAUAUUCAAACCAGCCCGUCAGGCAGGAUGCUGGAUUUGCUCAGUUACAGGAACUGUUGAGAGCGUGGCGGAAUAAAACGGGUGAGCACUUAAAACAUUGAGCAUUUAUGCCAAUAAUUGAACUCCAAAUAUCGGACUAUUUAGCAGCCUUUUUUACUCCAGAGACUGUCAAAAGGAAGCUCAAAUUUGGUAUUCAUGCUAAAUUCUGCUCAUUAGUGUAGAUUAAGUUUGUUUUACUUAUUCAGUUUUUUUUCCCAUGUCUAGGCUCCAAUGUUUUCAAGGCCUUGAGGUCAGUCGUGCAGAGCACUCAUUCUCUGCCCGUUGUACAAAGAUGUCUCCAUUUGUUCCUGGGGGGCAGUAGAUGUCCUAACCAUAUGGAGCUUGUAAGGCUGAGUAGCCUGCCAUGAACAAUGCAUGGCACCUUUCACCCACCGCAUCAUUCGCUAACCAUUACCUGACAAGUAAUUUGACAUGCCAUUUAUUUUCUGAUUUUAUCAGUUGGCCCCCUUUUUGCCCAUUCAAGACCUGCUUUUGUUUUGAAUGACUAACACAGGGGGGUAGAAUAAUUCUCUCAAAAACCUGAAGUAUUGGCUUAAAAUACCUUGCUUUGGAUCCUGUCGGGAGAUACAGUUUAAAAAAAUAAAAUUAAAUAAAACAUUUAAGUUUGUGUUAAGAUCGUUGCUCAUCAAAAGGUUUUUCUCCAGGUGAUGAAAUGCAAAGAUGGAGAAAUGGAGGAGCACAGUCAAUAGAUACCAUUGAUGGCUUUAUCUCUGGGACAUGUGAAUGCAACGAGGUCUACACACACACAAAAAUUACAAUAUUUUGACUUUUUAAGAUUUCAAUAAAGACAAAAGUCUUUAACUUAAAAUAUUACAUUUUGUAUUUUACUUUUAAAGAUUACUCAAUUUAGUUAUGAAAUUUAAAAUGCGUAAAUCUUUUUGUGUGUUUAUAAAGUACAUUCACAAUCAUGUCAAUGACUGUUUGGCUGAAGUGUGCCGCAUGGGAUGCUGCAGUGUUUGCCCACUUCCGGAGAUAAUUUAAGCCAAUCACUAUAAAUGCCAUGUGAUUGAUCACUCUAUAUAUACUUAUGUUUAAUAUGAUAAAUAUAGUGUUGAUUCAUUAGUGUAUUUGGGCUUCAUUUGUAUGGCCAUCAAAUAGAGAAACACUGUUUGCUUGCAUAAAUGUGUACGGCAUCUACCUGCAGGGGCUAACUGCUAAAGCUAACCAGCCGGAUCUUUGUGAUCUGAAUUAAUGUGGUGCUGCAAUCAGAUGGUUUUAUUUGAAUGGUGCUGAUUUUAUUGCCGUGUUUGGAGAACCUUUGAUGUAAGUAGUGCGGUUUCUGUUAUAAUGCACAUCAGUUAUGUAUUGCUGGUUCCCAAUAAAUGAAGA